rnacentral:rRNA from 1 species
GGCUCUUCACGAACGAGGGUGUAGCGCGGGUCUGAACCCUCCGGCUUCGAGCAGCGACCGAGCGAUGUAGUGGGUGAGGUUGCGGAAGCCGAGGGCGGAGCCGCGGAGGUGUUCGAGUCGCCCGUUGAUGGCCUCGGUCGGGCCGUUGCUGGUGCCUGGGCGGUCGAAGAACGCGAGGAUGUCGCCCGCCCGCUGCUUCAUGGUCCGGCCGAGCUUGCGGACCUCGACGAGCGCCGCGGGAACGCCGCUGCUGAUCGCAGCGAUCACCUCCUGCAUCAUCGCCUUCGCUUUCUUCUUGUCGGGCUCCCGGUAGGCCGCGACGAUGCGCUGGUAGAUGCCCCAGGUCGCCUCGACCUCGACGUGCUCCUCGCUCGCGAACACUGCGUCCAGGCGUGCCCGCUGCCGGUCGGUGAGCAGGCUCGCCCCGGUGUGCAGGGUGCGGCGGGCUUUGUAGAGCGGGUCGCCCUUGAGCCCGCGGUGACCGGUGGUGUCUUGCUGGACCCGACGCCGGCAGACAUCCAGCGCGUCGCCGGCGAGGCGGACCACGUGGAACGGGUCCAUGACGGGGACGGCGUCGGGGAGUUCCUCGGCGGCAGCGGUCUUGAACCCGGCGAAGCCGUCCAUCGCGACCACCUCGAUCCGCUUCGCCCAGUCCGCAGGGCGGGCGGCGAGCCACUGCUUGAACACCGCCUUGGAGCGGCCCUCGACCAUGUCCAGCAGCCUCGCCGGCCCGGUCUUGUUCCUCGCGGGCGUGAGGUCGAUGAUCACGGUGACGUACUUGUCGCCCAGCCUCGUGUGUCGCCAGACGUGCUCGUCGACACCGAUCGUGGUGACCCCGUCGAACCGGGCGGGGUCGUCGAUCAGGCGCCGCUUGCCUUCCGCGAGGACGGCGGCGUUCGCGGCACUCCAGGACACCCCGAGACCUGCGGCGACGCGGGUGACGGUGAGGUGGUCGAUGACGAUGCCCCGCAGCGCCCACUCCAGGCCGCCGCGGGAGAUCUUCGCACGCGGCGCCGCUGCCCGCGUCAUGUCCUGC